rnacentral:rRNA from 1 species
GUGAUCUACACUUGGCCAGGAUGAAGUCCCGGUAACACGGGAUGGAGGUCCGCACCAAUAAGCGUUGAAAAGCUUCUGGAUGAGCCGAGUGUAGGAGUGAAAGGCCAAUCAAACUUGGAGAUAGCUCGUACUCCCCGAAAGGCAUUUAGGUGCCGCGUCGGAUGGUCACCGUGAGAGGUAGAGCGACCGAUAGGACAAGAGGGCUUCACCGCCUAUCGAGUCCUGACGAACUCCGAAUGCUCACGGUCUGCAGUCCGGCAGUAAGGGGGCGGGUGCUAAGGUCCGUCCCCGAGAGGAGAAGAAUCCAGACCGCCGUCUAAGGUCCCGGAGUUCUGCCUGAGUUAGUCUAACGAAGUCUGGUCCCUAUGACAGCUAGGAUGUUGGCUUGGAAGCAGCCAUUCAUUCAAAGAGUGCGUAACAGCUCACUAGUCGAGGGUCCGGGCAUGGAUAAUAAUCGGGUAUAAGGCAGACACCGAAGGCGCGGGAUAGCAAUUAUAAAAGUAUCGGUAGGGGAGCAUACUCACAGCGUCGAAUGGUGUACGUAAGUUAUCCUGGAGCGGUGAGUAAAGCAAAUGUAGGAAUAAGUAACGAUAAGGAGGGUUAGAUUCCCUCCCGCUGUAAGACCAAGGUUUCCCGGGCAAUGCCAAUCAGCCCGGGGUCAGUCGGGUCCUAAGUCUAAGCCGAACGGCGAUGGCGAUGGCAGAGACGGUUAAUAUUCCGUCACUGCCGCAUGGGGCGACGUGGAGACGGAGCAGUGAAACCACCGCGGGGCGACGGAAGUCCCCGUUGAAGAGUGUAGGUGUUGAGGAUGGCAGGCAAAUCCACCAUCCGAGCUGAACUUGA